AUUUAAAUAGUUUAUUUUAAAAUAUCAGUUUGUGGUUCUGAUGAUGUAAUUAUUUACUUUAAAUA
rnacentral:tRNA from 1 species